rnacentral:lncRNA from 1 species
UAACUACUAAAUAAGGGUUUAUUAGUGUUUUAUCCAAACAUUAUCCAAAAGCCACCAAAUUUUGUGUGGAGCCAGGGAAUAAUAUUCAGAGACUCCCCACAAAGUUUGGUGAUUUUUGGGCAUAUUAAUAAAUUACUAAAAUUCAUAGAAAUUUUAUUUGCUAAUUAAAAGAGGCAAUUUUUAUACACUUGCAAACUAUCAGAAAACAGAACCUAAUAUUUUUCUUGGGUUCUACUUAUUUCAGGGAAUCUAUACAAAACUUUCCAUGAUUUUUGGAUCAAUAUACAAUUUUCUACACAAUUCUACAAAUCAAGCAUUUUUAAGCAAAAAGAAAAAAAAAGAAAAACACACUGUGCUACGCUGGUGGGCUGCUUGGACCCGGCCCAAGACGGCCCGCGAGCUUCCCGCGUCGCGCGCGGGCGCUGUCCUCCUCACAUGGCCACUGACGGGCGGGUCCCGCCCGUCAGAUCCUCCUUCCACCUCCCGUCGCGGCUCCGGCGAGCUCAAGCUCAUCGCCGGUGAGCUCCCGGUCUCCGCGGUGGGGUGGGUUAGCACCUUCGGCCACUCGUGCAACCCCUAGGACAUACGGGACAAUCCCUACUCCCUCCUAACCCUCCUGCUCACGUCCACGGCGGACGGCGGCACUAACCGCGCGAGCACCGGCCGUUACAAGUGGUUAGAACGCGAACCCACCAGCGCAUAAGCUUCAGGGGCUCACCGCGACUUCAACGGAGUAUCGAGCGGCGAUGGAAAGGCUUGGAGCAGCUCUGGCCGCGGUGAAGCGCUUGCGGCGGUGCUUCGGCCGGAGUUGGAGAGGAAC